CCAAAAUCUAAAGCCUCCUCCGAAUUCUCUCAUGUCUCCCUCUCUCUCUCUCAUCUCCUCCACCCACUGCCCCCUCCCCCACCCUCUCUCUGCUCCUCCGCCCACUGCUCUCCCUCUCUCUCAUAUCCCAGCUCCUUGACUUUCGGCAACAACCCGUGAAGGACCCUGUGCUUUUUCUCAAACCGACGUCGUCUUACUUGGAAAACGGAGGCAGUACUCCUGGGCUCGAUAUCGAAGUACUCCCUGAAUCAGGUAUAAUUUUCGUUAUUAUCUUUGGGUUUUAUACUUUUGGUUCUCUUCAGUUGAUUUGAUGAUUGAAUUGGGUUGUAGAAGUUUAUAAAUCCAAACAUGAUAAAUGGUUAGUUCAACUCUUAAUGGCGCUUGAUUAUUUGCAUGCCAACCAUAUUCUUCAUCGUCAUGUCAAGUGUUCAAACAUAUUUUUGACAAAGGAUCAAGACAUACGUCUAGGUGAUUUUGGUCUUGCUAAAAUGUUGACUUCAGAUGAUCUAGCUUCCUCUGU